rnacentral:lncRNA from 1 species
UCUGGAGCAGAAUCUAACAUAAGUAUAGUUAUGAAAGUAACUUACUUAUUAUAAGGGCAUAGGAACGAUGUGUACGAUUACGUACAUACAUGAAUUAAACAUUUGCCAAGAUCCCAAAUGCGUUUAGGUUGUAGUAAGUAUAGUGGAUGAACAACUUGAAAGAGGUAAGAGUAGAAUGGUCUAGUUUGAAUGAGAAAGGUUUCGGGGACGAAACCUCUUUUAAGGGGGGUAGACUUGUAACGCCCCAAAAUUAUGCAAAUUAAUUAUGUUACUUAAGAUGUCUAGUCAUGUAUUAUUUUACCUAGUUAAGUAUGUAUAUGUUAGUAACUUGAUUAGAAGGAAGGUUAUAUGACAAAUAAAAUAUCUAAGUAAAUAGGAGGACUAAACUUGUUAAAAGGUUGAAAGUUUAAUAAAUAAAAGAAAAAAAUAAAAAACACACACCCUGGUGUGAUGGCGUGGAUCGAUCAGAGCAAAGGGGGGAGAAGACAAACCCUAACUUCAUGAAAUUCUCAAGAAUUGAAAGAGAUUAGGAGCCCAAACUAAUGCAUGAACUCGAAACCUCAAUCAUCUAAGCUUGUACAACAAGCGGAACGUGUCAAGGAGAGGUCAAGCAUAGGAGGAUAACGGGUCAAGAUAAGGCAAGAUGACAAAUACACUUAUUGGAGUACU